rnacentral:rRNA from 1 species
ACGAUGAUCCCCAGCUUGCUGGGGUGAUUAGUGGCGAACGGGUGAGUAACACGUGAGUAACCUGCCCCCGACUCUGGGAUAAGCCCGGGAAACUGGGUCUAAUACCGGAUAUUCACUUCCUUCCGCAUGGAGGGUGGUGGAAAGGUCUUUUCCGGUCGGGGAUGGACUCGCGGCCUAUCAGCUUGUUGGUGGGGUAGUGGCCCACCAAGGCGACGACGGGUAGCCGGCCUGAGAGGGUGACCGGCCACACUGGGACUGAGACACGGCCCAGAUACAUACGGGAGGCAGCAGUGGGGAAUAUUGCACAAUGGGCGCAAGCCUGAUGCAGCGACGCCGCGUGAGGGAUGACGGCCUUCGGGUUGUAAACCUCUUUCAGUAGGGAAGAAGCGAAAGUGACGGUACCUGCAGAAGAAGCGCCGGCUAACUACGUGCCAGCAGCCGCGGUAAUACGUAGGGCGCAAGCGUUAUCCGGAAUUAUUGGGCGUAAAGAGCUCGUAGGCGGUUUGUCGCGUCUGCCGUGAAAGUCCGGGGCUCAACCCCGGAUCUGCGGUGGGUACGGGCAGACUUGAGUGCAGUAGGGGAGACUGGAAUUCCUGGUGUAGCGGUGAAAUGCGCAGAUAUCAGGAGGAACACCGAUGGCGAAGGCAGGUCUCUGGGCUGUAACUGACGCUGAGGAGCGAAAGCAUGGGGAGCGAACAGGAUUAGAUACCCUGGUAGUCCAUGCUGUAAACGUUGGGCACUAGGUGUGGGGAACAUUCCACGUUUUCCGCGCCGUAGCUGACGCAUUAAGUGCCCCGCCUGGGGAGUACGGCCGCAAGGCUAAAACUCAAAAGGAAUUGAGGGGGGCCCGCACAAGCGG